GUCGAACGGUAACAUUUCUAGCUUGCUAGAAGAUGACGAGUGGCGGACGGGUGAGUAAUGCUUGGGAACUUGCCUUUGCGAGGGGGAUAACAGUUGGAAACGACUGCUAAUACCGCAUAAUGUCUACGGACCAAACGGGGCUUCGGCUCCGGCGCAAAGAGAGGCCCAAGUGAGAUUAGCUAGUUGGUAAGGUAACGGCUUACCAAGGCGACGAUCUCUAGCUGUUCUGAGAGGAAGAUCAGCCACACUGGGACUGAGACACGGCCCAGACUCCUACGGGAGGCAGCAGUGGGGAAUAUUGCACAAUGGGGGAAACCCUGAUGCAGCCAUGCCGCGUGUGUGAAGAAGGCCUUCGGGUUGUAAAGCACUUUCAGUUGUGAGGAAAAGUUAGUAGUUAAUACCUGCUAGCCGUGACGUUAACAACAGAAGAAGCACCGGCUAACUCCGUGCCAGCAGCCGCGGUAAUACGGAGGGUGCGAGCGUUAAUCGGAAUUACUGGGCGUAAAGCGCACGCAGGCGGUUUGUUAAGCUAGAUGUGAAAGCCCCGGGCUCAACCUGGGAUGGUCAUUUAGAACUGGCAGACUAGAGUCUUGGAGAGGGGAGUGGAAUUCCAGGUGUAGCGGUGAAAUGCGUAGAUAUCUGGAGGAACAUCAGUGGCGAAGGCGACUCCCUGGCCAAAGACUGACGCUCAUGUGCGAAAGUGUGGGUAGCGAACAGGAUUAGAUACCCUGGUAGUCCACACCGUAAACGCUGUCUACUAGCUGUGUGUGCCUUU
rnacentral:rRNA from 1 species